UACCCCAUAGUCCACCAUGCCUGGAACGGUUGGUGGAUCAAAGCUCCGGCGGCAUAGGAUGGGCCUGCGGCGUAUCAGGUUGUAGGGGGUGUAACGUACCCUCUAGCCUUCAACGCGUACGGGUUGUGGGAGCAAUAGCCCGGAGAUGGAUUCUGAGACACGAAUCCAGACCCCACGGGGUGCAGCAGGCGCGAAAACUUCACACUGCAGGAAACUGUGAUGAGGGAAUUCCAAGUGGCUAGACAAAGUCUAGUCUACAACCAACUCUUAACCGGUUGGCGAAAAGGGGUGGGAAAGACCGGUGCCAGCCGCCGCGGUAAUACCGGCACCCCAAGUGGUCGUCGCUUUUAUUGGGCCUAAAACGUCCGUAGCCGGUUUGGUACAUUCGCGGGUAAAUCAAGCAGCUCAACUGCUUGAAUUCUGCGAGGACGGCCAGACUAGGGACUGGGAGAGGUGUGGGGUACUCUCGGGGUAGGGGUAAAAUCCUGUCAUCCCGUGAGGACCACCUGUUGCGAAGGCGCCACACUAGAACGGAUCCGACGGUCAGGGACGAAGCCUAGGGGCACGAACCGGAUUAGAUACCCGGGUAGUCCUAGGUGUAAACGCUGUGGA
rnacentral:rRNA from 1 species